rnacentral:rRNA from 1 species
GGUUAAGCGACUAAGCGUACACGGUGGAUGCCCUGGCAGUCAGAGGCGAUGAAGGGCGUGCUAAUCUGCGAUAAGCGCCGGUAAGGUGAUAUGAACCGUUAUAACCGGCGAUACCCGAAUGGGGAAACCCAGUGUGACUCGUCACACUAUCAUUAACUGAAUCCAUAGGUUAAUGAGGCGAACCGGGGGAACUGAAACAUCUAAGUACCCCGAGGAAAAGAAAUCAACCGAGAUUCCCCCAGUAGCGGCGAGCGAACGGGGAGGAGCCCAGAGCCUGAAUCAGCAUGUGUGUUAGUGGAAGCGUCUGGAAAGGCGCGCGAUACAGGGUGACAGCCCCGUACACAAAAGCGCAUGUGCUGUGAGCUCGAUGAGUAGGGCGGGACACGUGGUAUCCUGUCUGAAUAUGGGGGCCAUCCUCCAAGGCUAAAUACUCCUGACUGACCGAUAGUGAACCAGUACCGUGAGGGAAAGGCGAAAAGAACCCCGGCGAGGGGAGUGAAAAAGAACCUGAAACCGUGUACGUACAAGCAGUGGGAGCACAGGUUUACCUGUGUGACUGCGUACCUUUUGUAUAAUGGGUCAGCGACUUAUAUUCUGUAGCAAGGUUAACCGAAUAGGGGAGCCGGAGGGAAACCGAGUCUUAAUUGGGCGUUAAGUUGCAGGGUAUAGACCCGAAACCCGGUGAUCUAGCCAUGGGCAGGUUGAAGGUUGGGUAACACUAACUGGAGGACCGAACCGACUAAUGUUGAAAAAUUAGCGGAUGACCUGUGGCUGGGGGUGAAAGGCCAAUCAAACCGGGAGAUAGCUGGUUCUCCCCGAAAGCUAUUUAGGUAGCGCCUCGUGAAUUCAUCUCCGGGGGUAGAGCACUGUUUCGGCUAGGGGGCCAUCCCGGCUUACCAACCCGAUGCAAACUGCGAAUACCGGAGAAUGUUAUCACGGGAGACACACGGCGGGUGCUAACGUCCGUCGUGAAGAGGGAAACAACCCAGACCGCCAGCUAAGGUCCCAAAGUCAUGGUUAAGUGGGAAACGAUGUGGGAAGGCCCAGACAGCCAGGAUGUUGGCUUAGAAGCAGCCAUCAUUUAAAGAAAGCGUAAUAGCUCACUGGUCGAGUCGGCCUGCGCGGAAGAUGUAACGGGGCUAAACCAUGCACCGAAGCUGCGGCAGCGACACUCAGGUGUUGUUGGGUAGGGGAGCGUUCUGUAAGCCUGUGAAGGUGUGCUGUGAGGCAUGCUGGAGGUAUCAGAAGUGCGAAUGCUGACAUAAGUAACGAUAAAGCGGGUGAAAAGCCCGCUCGCCGGAAGACCAAGGGUUCCUGUCCAACGUUAAUCGGGGCAGGGUGAGUCGACCCCUAAGGCGAGGCCGAAAGGCGUAGUCGAUGGGAAACGGGUUAAUAUUCCCGUACUGGUGUUACUGCGAAGGGGGGACGGAGAAGGCUAUGUUGGCCGGGCGACGGUUGUCCCGGUUUAAGCGUGUAGGUGUGUGUUCCAGGUAAAUCCGGUUCACUUUAACACUGAGGCGUGAUGACGAGGCACUACGGUGCUGAAGCAACAAAUGCCCUGCUUCCAGGAAAAGCCUCUAAGCAUCAGGUAACAUCAAAUCGUACCCCAAACCGACACAGGUGGUCAGGUAGAGAAUACCAAGGCGCUUGAGAGAACUCGGGUGAAGGAACUAGGCAAAAUGGUGCCGUAACUUCGGGAGAAGGCACGCUGACACGUAGGUGAAGUGAUUUACUCAUGGAGCUGAAGUCAGUCGAAGAUACCAGCUGGCUGCAACUGUUUAUUAAAAACACAGCACUGUGCAAACACGAAAGUGGACGUAUACGGUGUGACGCCUGCCCGGUGCCGGAAGGUUAAUUGAUGGGGUCAGCGCAAGCGAAGCUCCUGAUCGAAGCCCCGGUAAACGGCGGCCGUAACUAUAACGGUCCUAAGGUAGCGAAAUUCCUUGUCGGGUAAGUUCCGACCUGCACGAAUGGCGUAAUGAUGGCCAGGCUGUCUCCACCCGAGACUCAGUGAAAUUGAACUCGCUGUGAAGAUGCAGUGUACCCGCGGCAAGACGGAAAGACCCCGUGAACCUUUACUAUAGCUUGACACUGAACAUUGAGCCUUGAUGUGUAGGAUAGGUGGGAGGCUUUGAAGUGUGGACGCCAGUCUGCAUGGAGCCGGCCUUGAAAUACCACCCUUUAAUGUUUGAUGUUCUAACGUGGACCCGUGAUCCGGGUUGCGGACAGUGUCUGGUGGGUAGUUUGACUGGGGCGGUCUCCUCCUAAAGAGUAACGGAGGAGCACGAAGGUUGGCUAAUCCUGGUCGGACAUCAGGAGGUUAGUGCAAUGGCAUAAGCCAGCUUGACUGCGAGCGUGACGGCGCGAGCAGGUGCGAAAGCAGGUCAUAGUGAUCCGGUGGUUCUGAAUGGAAGGGCCAUCGCUCAACGGAUAAAAGGUACUCCGGGGAUAACAGGCUGAUACCGCCCAAGAGUUCAUAUCGACGGCGGUGUUUGGCACCUCGAUGUCGGCUCAUCACAUCCUGGGGCUGAAGUAGGUCCCAAGGGUAUGGCUGUUCGCCAUUUAAAGUGGUACGCGAGCUGGGUUUAGAACGUCGUGAGACAGUUCGGUCCCUAUCUGCCGUGGGCGCUGGAGAACUGAGGGGGCUGCUCCUAGUACGAGAGGACCGGAGUGGACGCAUCACUGGUGUUCGGGUUGUCAUGCCAAUGGCACUGCCCGGUAGCUAAAUGCGGAAGAGAUAAGUGCUGAAAGCAUCUAAGCACGAAACUUGCCCCGAGAUGAGUUCUCCCUGAGACUUUAGGUCUCCUGAAGGAACGUUGAAGACGACGACGUUGAUAGGCCGGGUGUGUAAGCGCAGCGAUGCGUUGAGCUAACCGGUACUAAUGAACCGUGAGGCUUAACCUU